rnacentral:rRNA from 1 species
UACGGGGGGAGCAAGCGCUGUUCGGAUUUACUGGGCGUAAAGGGCGCGUAGGCGGCCAGCACAAGUCAGUUGUGAAAUCUCCGAGCUUAACUCGGAAAGGUCAACUGAUACUGUGCGGCUAGAGUGCGGAAGGGGCAACUGGAAUUCUUGGUGUAGCGGUGAAAUGCGCAGAUAUCAGGAGGAACACCGGUGGCGAAGGCGGUUCUCUGGGCAUGACCUGACGCUGAGGAGCGAAAGUGUGGGGAGCGAACAGG